GAUGAAGAACGCAGCGAAAUGCGAUAAGUAGUGUGAAUUGCAGAAUUCAGUGAAUCAUCGAAUCUUUGAACGCACAUUGCGCCCUUUGGUAUUCCUUAGGGCAUGCCUGUUCGAGCGUCAUCUACACCCUCAAGCACAGCUUGGUGAUGGGCGCCUGUCCCGCCCCCCACGGGGGCGCGGACUCGCCUCAAAUGCAUUGGCGGCCGGCGACCUGGCUUCGAGCGCAGCAGAAACGCGUACUCGGGGACCGGGCGCCCGCUCCCAGAAGCCAACCCACCCAGUUUGACCUCGGAUCAGGUAGGGAUACCCGCUGAACUUAAGCAUAUCAAUAAGCGGAGGA
rnacentral:misc_RNA from 1 species